rnacentral:rRNA from 1 species
GGUUAUUACAGCAAAGAGGAUACACCUGUUCCCAUUCCGAAUACAGAAGUUAAGCUCUUUAGCGCCGAUGGUACUUGGUGGGAAGCUGCCUGGGAGAGUAGGACGUAGCCGCGU